rnacentral:rRNA from 1 species
UUAACACAUGCAAGUCGAACGCUGAAGCCUGGUGCUUGCACCGGGUGGAUGAGUGGCGAACGGGUGAGUAAUACGUGAGUGACCUGCCUUUGACUCUGGGAUAAGCCUGGGAAACUGGGUCUAAUACCGGAUGCGACUACUGCCCGCAUGGGCUGGUGGUGGAAAGGGUUAUGUACUGGUCUUAGAUGGGCUCACGGCCUAUCAGCUGGUUGGUGGGGUAAUGGCCUACCAAGGCGACGACGGGUAGCCGGCCUGAGAGGGUGACCGGCCACACUGGGACUGAGACACGGCCCAGACUCCUACGGGAGGCAGCAGUGGGGAAUAUUGCACAAUGGGCGCAAGCCUGAUGCAGCGACGCCGCGUGAGGGAUGACGGCCUUCGGGUUGUAAACCUCUUUCAGCAGGGAAGAAGCGGAAGUGACGGUACCUGCAGAAGAAGCGCCGGCUAACUACGUGCCAGCAGCCGCGGUAAUACGUAGGGCGCAAGCGUUGUCCGGAAUUAUUGGGCGUAAAGAGCUCGUAGGCGGCUUGUCGCGUCUGCUGUGAAAGCCCGGGGCUUAACUCCGGGUGUGCAGUGGGUACGGGCAGGCUAGAGUGCAGUAGGGGUAACUGGAAUUCCUGGUGUAGCGGUGAAAUGCGCAGAUAUCAGGAGGAACACCGAUGGCGAAGGCAGGUUACUGGGCUGUUACUGACGCUGAGGAGCGAAAGCAUGGGGAGCGAA